GGAAACUCACCAGGUCCAGACACAAUAAGGAUUGACAGAUUGAGAGCUCUUUCUUGAUUUUGUGGGUGGUGGUGCAUGGCCGUUCUUAGUUGGUGGAGUGAUUUGUCUGCUUAAUUGCGAUAACGAACGAGACCUUAACCUGCUAAAUAGCCAGGUCAGCUUUGGCUGGCCGCCGGCUUCUUAGAGGGACUAUCGGCUCAAGCCGAUGGAAGUUUGAGGCAAUAACAGGUCUGUGAUGCCCUUAGAUGCUCUGGGCCGCACGCGCGCUACACUGACAGAGACAACGAGUUCAUCUCCUUGACCGGAAGGUUUGGGUAAUCUUGUUAAACUCUGUCGUGCUGGGGAUAGAGCAUUGCAAUUAUUGCUCUUCAACGAGGAAUGCCUAGUAAGCGCGAGUCAUCAGCUCGCGUUGAUUACGUCCCUGCCCUUUGUACACACCGCCCGUCGCUACUACCGAUUGAAUGGCUCAGUGAGGCCUUCGGACUGGCCCAGAGAGGUCGGCAACGACCACUCCGGGCCGGAAAGUUGGUCAAACUUGGUCAUUUAGAGGAAGUAAAAGU
rnacentral:rRNA from 1 species